CCUACGGGAGGCAGCAGUAAGGAAUAUUGGUCAAUGGAGGCAACUCUGAACCAGCCAUGCCGCGUGCAGGAAGAAGGCCCUAUGGGUCGUAAACUGCUUUUGUACCAGNGAAAACCCGAGUACGUGUACUCGGUUGAUAGUAUGGUAAGAAUAAGCAUCGGCUAACUUCGUGCCAGCAGCCGCGGUAAGACGAAGGAUGCAAGCGUUAUCCGGAUUCAUUGGGUUUAAAGGGUGCGUAGGCGGACUGAUAAGUCAGUGGUGAAAUCUCUCAGCUUAACUGAGAAACUGCCAUUGAUACUGUUAGUCUAGAGUAUAGAUGACGUUGGCGGAAUAUGACAUGUAGUGGUGAAAUACUUAGAUAUGUCAUAGAACCACCGAUUGCGAAGGCAGCUAACGAAACUAUAACUGACGCUGAGGCACGAAAGUGCGGGGAGUCAAACAGGAUUAGAUACCCUAGGUAGUCCGCACCGUAAACCGAUGAUUACUCGUUGUUGGCAAUAUGACCGUCNGCGACCACGACGAAGACGAUAAGUAAUACCACCCGUCGGGGUAGGGUACGGCCCGGGCCCGAACCGGUACGGAAACCGUAACCGAAACGUAAGUAAGUUAGUACGGGUACGUGGAGACGUUCGCCGGACGGGACGACCGACCGACGGGGAGGGUAGGGNG
rnacentral:rRNA from 1 species